CAAACGAAAUAUCCCAGGAUAGCGAAUCUUUCAUCAGAUUAUGUCUUGAGGGUAAACGAAAUAUCCUAGGAUGGCAAUUCAUUCAACAGAUUGUGUCUAGCGGUUAAAUGAAAUAUCCUAGGACAGCGGUUCUUUGAUCUGAUUGUGUCUAGCGGGCAAACGAAUUAUCCUAGGAUAGCGAUUCUUUCAUCAGAUUGUGUCUAGCAGGCAACGAAUUAUCCUAGGAUAGCGAUUUUUUCAUCAAAUUGUAAGUAUUAAAUUUGUUAACUAUUUUCAUAUAUAAUUUGUGUAAUUAGCACAAGGGAAACCCGCAAAAAUGUCAUUUUUGUAUUUGCAUGUGCUAAUUUCUUGUUGUUUUAGGUGUCUAGCGGGCAAACAAAAUAUCCUAAGAUAUUCAUAAGUAAUUAGUGUGAUUAGCACACGAGAUACUCGUGAAACUCUCAUUUUUGUGUAUCGAUGUACUAAUUUUUGGUUGUUUUAGGUGUCUUGCAGGCAAUCCAAAUGUCCAAGGACAACGAUUUUUUCAUCAGCUUGUAAAUAUUGAAUUUG